UACGGGGGGAGCAAGCGUUGUUCGGAUUUACUGGGCGUAAAGGGCGCGUAGGCGGCUUUCCAAGUCACUUGUGAAAUCUCCGGGCUUAACUCGGAACGGUCAAGUGAUACUGUGAGGCUAGAGUGCGGAAGGGGCAACUGGAAUUCUCGGUGUAGCGGUGAAAUGCGUAGAUAUCGAGAGGAACACCUGCGGCGAAGGCGGGUUGCUGGGCCGACACUGACGCUGAUGCGCGAAAGCUAGGGGAGCGAACGGG
rnacentral:rRNA from 1 species